GACUAUACCCAUACCACCCUAAAUGUGCCUGAUCUUGACUUAUUUCUGAAGCUAAACAGGGUUGGGCCUGGUUAGUGCUUGGAUUGAGAUGCGUUGCAGCUGGUUGAUGGUUG
ensembl:rRNA 5S_rRNA 5S ribosomal RNA